AGCCUUUUUGAUCUUCCAUCAAGAAUCUCUAUUUAGCUCAUCGAUCUCCGCAGCAUUUUCUUUCUAUAUAAAAAAUUUUUUAACUAAAAUUUUAAAAUCGCGCUUAAAUAUUAUUAGCGGAAUGGGCGUCGGUGUUGUAGCGGGAUUUAUGCGAAGACAAGCCUUCAGAUGCCCCGUGCGAAUUUAAUAUUACUUUUAAUCUGGCUGAAAAUAUUAUUACCAACAAAAAGUUCUGUUAGAAUAUAUAGUGAAGAUGCGGUAAAGUGGAUUAGAAGGCCAGAAGCAGAAGCGAAUCGUUAUGACUUAAUUCUCAUGGUCUAUUCUGGCGACUUGGUGCCUCCGAAUUUAUUCACUAGAGAAUUUUUAUCGGCUACCAGGACACUUUUUACUCAAGAGUCUUCUAAGCGACGAAGGAAUUUUUUGCGUGAACUACUUCGGAUUUGUGGAAGGAGAAAAAGUCGUUGAUACACGUUUGCUUACCGCCGCACUCCUCUCUCUAUAUAAAUUUGUGGAUUUAAUAUUCCUCACCAAUAUGGAAUUCUAUCUAUUUAUCAGAGAUGUUUUGGCGAUGACAUUUACAGGCGACUACUCCUUCAAAUUAUAACUGCUUGGCCUCGAAUAAAU